rnacentral:antisense_RNA from 2 species
CUCCAUGGUGGACCGGGCGGGGGCACUGAAAAGUGCGCUGGUGUCAGUGAAGCCAGUAGUUCCAACCCUGCCCGGCUCCACCACCAAU